UUUAUUCGGUAUUACUUAUUCAGUGAAUGGUUUCGGAUUAAAAAGUGUAAAGUGUAAAUUUUUGGUGACGAGGUAUUCUUUAAUUGCCAGUACCAACGUGCGAUGGAAUUAAGGAGAAUGCAGUGGAACAAUCGAAAUUAUGUUUCAGAGAUACGAUACGUGUAACGUCAGAUCGAAUGGACAAUCGAAUUAUUGGCAAGCGCGUAUAUGCCGAAGCAUGUCAAUACAUUUCGUUAGUGCGGUGUCAUUCAAAAUGGGUGGAAGCUAGCUCUUUGUAGUCUGGAUGUUUCGCAGCAGGCAAGCCAGCCGGUAGACAGGUACCUACCUGGAAACGAGUAACUACUUAUUGUCACCUCUAACGAGGCCGCAACAAAAACUCAGCUAUUCGCAGGUGGGAAUGCUGCCAGCUUAUGAAAGUAUCAAUUACCUUCUACGUCCAGUUUCCUAAUGAGGGGAACAGAGCCAUGGAUUACCGAGUCGCCAUAACUGUGACUCCUAGAUCCGUUGCGAUUUUUUCAUAGAUCAACAUGGACAGCGUUCACCAAUCAGAUGUUUACAUUCACAGAGUCUAUAUUUCUUCUCAACCAAUCGUGGCGAGCCUGUUACACAAGAUUGUUAUUACGUAUUAUAUUCGCCUUUAAAUGAAAUCGAACUGUAUGUACUUUCAUGUUACAUAUGUCGGCAACAUGUGUACAUAAUAAAAUAAGUAGACAUUUCAGAAUUAUAGUUAUGCAUGAGAUCUAUACGUAGACAAAAAGGCGUGGUUUUCGUUUCGUGUAUUUUCGAUUAUAAAAAGUCAUAUAAUUUCUGAAAGUCUUAUACUUGAAAGUCUAUCGUUUAAAUGCUUCGUCUAUUGUUAGUGCCUGCUGUUACUUCGUAUUUUUGUUAUAACCUUUUAACAAAGCGCAUAAGUUUAUGUUCAUAUGACAUUUUUUGUUAUUUUUAUUCCAAGAGCGUGCUGAUACUACUUUAUGGAAGAAACCCAGUACAUCCUGUAGGUCUAAUAUUAUAUCGUAUGUCAUGACAUUGCCAGGAAGAAUAGGACAAAUCAAUUCAGUAACAUAAAUAGCGUUUUUACUGAACAAAUAAAAUGUGGAAUUAAAUCUACACUUUAUCGUAUUUAUGACUUUAUUUUCUAAUUAUUCUCAUUAAAUGAAAUAUACUAUGAAACAAUACAACAUUUUAAAAAUUAGAUUUCGGCGCUAUGGACACGUUCAAUGAAAAACAAAUAUUUUAACUUUUAAUAAAUAUUAAAACUAAAAGUAUAGAACUCUUUAAACUAACAUUUACUAUCUAUUAAUAGUAACGUAUGUAGCAUCGUCAUAAAGGUAUAUUUCGUAUUAAAUCAUAAAUGCAUGUCUAUUACUGCGAUAUGUUCGGAAAGAGAUUUUCAAAAUUGAGAUUAUUUACGGAUAUCCAUAUACAAAAUCUAAAUUUGUCAUGUGACAGUUAUAAGUAAUUUAAUUCUUGAAUAAUCUGUAUUAUAACCUUGCCUAUUACGAGAACAUAUUCCCUGUAUUGAAACUGCAUCUUAUCCGAUCAACGCGCGUUACAAUUCGUUAAUGCCAUUAUUCAAAGUUAUCGACUUUCACAUAACAAGGAUUUGUGGUUGAAGCUGUUGAACCUUACGAAGAAAGAUCUAACAAUUUUACGGAUCAUAUGUUUCAUGACGAGUCUAAGUACCACUAUUACAUAAACAUCAAAUGUAACGAUUGAAACGGUUACAUUUACGAUCUCGUAAAUCUGUUUAGAUCGCGAUACGCCGCUUUCUUUGCGCAUAGUUUCUGAUUUGUGACUGCCACCAAUACAGUGGACGUGGGUAAGAUUCGUACUCCCAACUUGAGAUCCAUAGAAGGUACGAUUCCGUAUUCAGUGACGUCAGUCACCUUUCUGGCGUUUCAUUGUUCAAAGAAACAGACAUGCAUCGCUAGACGAAAAGGGAAGCAAGAAGUAAUCAUUGAAGUUCGAAUGGCAGACCGGUAGAUUCAUGCGGAGGAGUAGGGUAGGUUGAAGCGCAUACGUGUAACAUAUGUUACUUACAUACGUAUAUUGCUGUGGUGAUCAUUCAUUGCGAUAUUAGCCACAAUUAGGAAGCGCUUAGUCAAUAGUUCCACUUACAAAAUCGAUGAGAGGAAGUACGGAUUGAACAAACGUGACUAAAGCUCCAGGCGAAUGGACUUCAGAUGAUGCAGGCAAAUCGGUGCUAUAACUCAUUCAUUUAUUCUAUACACUACGUGUACGUCAGAAUUACACGGAAAAACUGGAAGGGAAGAAUAUAAUAAGUUAUGUUACUUA